GGUACUGCGGCGGAUCCAAGGUCAGAGUUUGCAGGAGUAUACGCGAAGCUGAAAUCUGAGCUCUUAAAUGACUCUGCCUUUCAAUUCACGCCCGAUUCUCGCCAUUGGGUCCAACGGAUGCUGGAAUACAAUGUGCCUGGAGGGAAGUUAAACCGAGGACUCAGUGUCAUUGAUAGCUACAAACUGCUAAAAGACUCUCACACUCGCCGUGGUCAGCCCUGUUGGUUUAGGGCUUCCUAAGGUUGGUAUUAUUGCCAUCAAUGAUGGAGUCCUACUUCGCAACCAUAUUCCCAGAAUCCUCAAGAACCACUUCAAAGAUAAGCCUUACUAUGUUGAUCUGUUGGAUUUGUUUAAUGAGGUUGAGUUCCAAACUGCUUGCGGACA